GAUGAACGCUGGCGGCGUGCCUAAUACAUGCAAGUCGAGCGGACGGAAGAGAAGCUUGCUUCUCUUAUGUUAGCGGCGAACGGGUGAGUAACACGUGGAUAACCUGCCUUUAAGACUGGGAUAACUUCGGGAAACCAUAGCUAAUACCGCAUAAUAUUUUGAACCUCCUGGUUCAAGCGGGAAAAGCGGUCUUUCUCUCGCUCAUGGAUGGACUCGCGUUCAAUUAGCUAGUUGGUGAGGUAACGGCUCACCAAGGCGACGAUUGGUAGCCGGACUGAGAGGUUGAACGGCCACAUUGGGACUGAGACACGGCCCAGACUCCUACGGGAGGCAGCAGUGGGGGAUAUUGCACAAUGGGGGAAACCCUGAUGCAGCGACGCCGCGUGGAGGAAGAAGGUUUUCGGAUUGUAAACUCCUGUCGUUAGGGACGAUAAUGACGGUACCUAACAAGAAAGCACCAGCUAACUACGUG
rnacentral:rRNA from 1 species